rnacentral:lncRNA from 1 species
UUGGUUUCUUUCUUUUCCUACUCACGGGUUCCAAGGGGGGUGAAUUCCCAAUUCACCAUUUCAUUCUCUCUUCAACCCACAGAUUCUAAGGGAAGCCAAUCCCUAACUCACCCAUCCACCCUUCAUCCACGGCAGCAAAAGGGGUACAUACGGGUUUCUUAGAACCCCAAAAUCCCAAAGGGAUUUCGAAAUCCCUAAUCUUCCUCUUUUUCUAAUCCUUUCUCUCCCCUAGUUUGGUUCGUGUCAGCAACCAAGGAGGUAAUGCGGUUAUUCCAGAUUCGAGUUUCUGCUGUAAAAUGACAGUGACUUAAUUUGCUGUAAAAUAAUAUGGCAGAGUUCAUGUCGUUCAUGAUAUAGCAAUUUUAAGAAAACACAUAUUUUUAGAGCACAAAUUUCUAAUUCCAUAUAACGCCAAACAUAGCCUUUUCUUAAAGAAUAAUUGGUUAAACCAGUAAUAGAUACAUUACCUUCAAAGCUUGAUUCCUAUUUUUUGCUUCUGAGAUACUGGAAUUGUUGAAUUCGAGUUAUACCUACUGCUUGUUGAUAGGAGGAUGAAUGUGUUGCUUGUUGUGUAUAUGGGAAUGUGUGGUCCUCUCUUGUUUAUUACUGAUAUGUAUAAUCUUCUAUCAGUCUCCUCUCCCUCUCUGGAGCAGUGAGUUUAUUCAGGUGAUCCUCCUCAUUCCUGUAUCAGCAUAAAGAUAACAAAGUUAUAAGUGCUUGCUGUAGGUAUGCACUUACGACCCUUAACCGUAUUUGGGAAUUAUUGGAUAGCUGGAUCAGAUUGUGUAUUUGUUUCAUCCUCAACAUAAUUUAAUUGCUUUGAGCAUGUUAGUGUUGUUCUAUUGUUUUGUGCAUAUGCUUUUCUUUUUUCCCCUUUUUUUGCAGUUGGAAGUUGGCCAUAGAAGAUAACUUGUACGUCCAGUAUUGAUCAAUUGUUCGUGAUUCGCUUAGGGUUGCGAGGCUGAAGUGACUCCCCUUCGUUAGAUCUGGAUGCGGUCUCCUUCAACCUUAAGUUUGCAUUUGUAGCCUUAUGGUAGGAAAAGAACAAAAUGAUGUAAUAUUCAUGCGUUGAACCUUUUUAAGUUUCUUAUUAUUAUUUAUUCUUGCUCAUAGAGAAAUAUUUAGAAAAUGUAACCCAGUACGGGAUGGGNN